GGGGUUGACUGGAUUUGACAGCGGGUUGAAAUGGUACGUAAGCACGCGGAGCGUCGGCUGUUUGCUCCUAAAUAUCAGCGGUCAAACAAUUAAUUGGCGAAAACAACUACGCUCUCGCUGCUUAAUCGAAGCACAGUAGAUUAUUGGCUUAAUUCUGUCACCAGGUGAUAGAACGAGACGUCGCUCCGAGGAUGUUGUUCCGAAUCCAAAGAUUCAGCGGCGCAGAAAACAUCGGAAAUAGUCGUUGUAUGCCUCGAUGCAUCGAUGAAAUUUUAGAGGAUAAGGCAUCAGUUGGUGGUCCAGGUCUUGCUGCUGCUCGAAAACCAAAGGCUGGAAUAAGCGUGUAGAAAGCGUAUGGUUUCCCUGUUUGGACGAGGGUUCGACUCCCUCCAGCUCCACA
rnacentral:tmRNA from 1 species